GCAGACAGCAAAGUGCGCGAGGCUGCAGGUCGGGGUUGCAUGUAAACAGCGGACAUGGCAGCUUUGUAGCAUUAAUACCGAAAUGAAGACAUUUCCAGCAGAGAAAACCCCGAGGAAAAUGGCGUCAACUGUGCUUUGGAAAGAGGGGAAAACGAGAAAAUAGGAUUUGCGGAGCAGAUCCGACGACAGAAUCAAGGUAGCCGCACGGAGGAGGAGGUGGGGGGGUGAAAAAAAAAUCCAGUCGGAAACUUGGCGCUUGUGUCCAAUUCCUGCGAGGAAGGAGAUGAUCGGAGGCUCCUGCGGACAGACGCGUGUGGUCGGGGAGCCGCGGCGGCGCACGGUGUGUCUCCGGAGCCCUGCGGGAUCGGCGGUCAGUGCGCGGAGCCCGGAUCCCUCCAAAUCCGCUACUCGGCUGGUCGGGGAGGAGAAGGAGGAGGAGGAGGAGGAGGAGGAGGAGGGGGAGCAGGACUCUUACUGCAGUCAAAACAAGCCCGCAUCCGACUACAAGCCCAAAUCCAGCGGGGGUGGAGAGAGGGUGGAAGGUGGAGAGGAGGAGGAGGAGGUGGGGGAAGAUUUCAGCGACGAGAGCGCGCGUUGAGCUGUCAGGAGAGCCGAGGCAGGAGGCGCAGGUUCGGGUCGCUUCCAGCCGCCGUCUGCACGCCGGAUCGGGCUUCCCUCUCUGUGUGAACGCGCUCUCUCUCUCCGAUCGGUGAAUGUCAGGUCCCGGAGCCUGGUGUCUGGUAAUGAUCUCACCCAGCAGACUGGAGGCUCUGACCGAGCGCAGCGCGGCGCAGCGGAGCCGGAGAGGAGCGACACCGCCUCCCCCUGGCAGCAGCAGAGCGCAGCUCCCUCUCCCUCCCCGGCCCCCUCCUCCAAAAACCCCCCAGCCUCUCCUGUGGGACCGAUCAGACAGACCCCGUGUGAUUUUAAUGCAAUGCAAAUAGGGAAAAAGCUACAUCUGGCAAAAAGGCUUGAUGUUUAGACGAAGUCACUGCUGUGAAGAGCAGGGUGUUAUGUCCACAACUCUGUCAUUAACUAUUAAUAAGUGAUCAUAAACUAAUGAAAGUAGCAACUUUAAAAUGAAUCAAUAUAAGGACAGUGUAUGUAAUUUUACCCCAGGUAAUCUACUUAAGUACUGAUAUUAAAUUAUGUUUUUCUUGCAUCACAUAAAGUUUCUGCUAACUUGAUACCCGGUUUAUGAACCUAUUCUUAAGCUUGUAAUGAUGUUCUAAAUUGAUAUUAUAAAUUCUUUAUUAUUUUCGAAAUGUAAUUAUUUGAGAACAGUGUUCGUGAAGUUUUUAGGAGUUUCCAAGAAAAAAACUUACCGCAAUUUGGUUCAAUUUAGAUAAAAUAGUCCCACUUGAAUACAAAGUUUCUCUUUUCAUCUGUGGUCACGACUGAUGAAUCUGAGUUCUUUGGAGAAAUCCUGAUGGAUGGCUGAAGCUGAGCUCAUAAAACCGAAAGGUUGAAUUGUGCUCAGUGUGAUUUGGCUAAAUCACAGUCACGAUGUAAUAAAAGUAUCAGACUUUGUUUGAAUAUACACAAGGCACAUUUCAGACAAGUUACUAUUUAAUACUAUUUCAAUAAUAUUUCAACUGGAAUGCAUCAGAGUUCAACAGGAAAAAGUUUCAGAAGUUUUCAUAAAACAUACAGUGAGGAGGAGUCGCCACUGAUGUCUUUGUUAUAAAUUUACACAACAAUAUGACUCCUAACAUAAUCAUGGGAAACUUCAGUAGUGCACAACAGCAAUCACAUAGUUAUUUCACUUUCUGCGAUUGUCCUGUGCCAACUUGGAAUAAAAAGACUGAAAGAAAUACACAGAAAAAUAACACACACAAAGUAAUAAACUACUGCGAGGAACUUUUCCUCCCUUUUAUAUUGGAAUGUUCAACAACAUAAAGUACGUUAUUACAUGAAAUUUAAAUAAAUGAAACCGGAAAAAAUAAAGAAUAGAGUGCACUAUAGGAACAUGCAUGAUACAUUGUCUCUGCUGAUGUAAAAUAGACAGUAAUGCAAAGAACUUUUGGGACAUAACAAAGGUUUCUGCAUAACUCUCGUUGUUCAAAUGUCAUUUCUUCGCAAUGUUUCCAUAUGAAACUUUUUAAAACCCGUGGGCUAAACUAUAAAUAAAGUUUAUCACCUCUGUCUUAAUAGGAAAUGGCUGCACAUAAAACGUUACUACUGAGAUAACUUGUGAUGAUGCUUCUUGACAGACAGCGUGUAAUUUAUUCCAGGUUAACGUGUGUAUGUGUUCAGUGUGACAUAAGUUGUCACAUCACACUUGGCUGACAGGUUUUCUGCAGAAUGGCUGUGAAUUUGUGUGUGUGUGUGUGUGUGUGUGUGUGUGUGUGUGUGUGUGUGUGUGUGUGUGUGUGGUGCUUUCCCUCUCAAUAUGUCAAAUUGCAUGAGGAUGGAAAACUCACAUCAUCAGCAGCGAGAUGAACAAGCCACAGUUGUUCCAUUAAUUCAAAUCUGUCAGAAGUUAUGUUUAUAUCGUGUCUCCAUGCAAAACCUGACCUUCCCUGUAUGGAAAACACUCUUAAACAUUAACAAACAAUUCAAAUGAUGUGAAAUGACCUUUCUCUCCCGGUGGCCCACAGUCAUUACUCAGCCGAACACAUGCGUCUGUACGUGUGUGUGUGUGUGUGUGGGUGAGAGCAUGUGUGCGUCCAUGCCCAUGUGCAGAGCACCCACGAGGAGAUAUUUCAUUAGGCGAGGUGGUGAUUGUGUACUCUGCAGCAUAUAAACACUCGGCACAGUUUCCAGCUUGUAGUUAAAAUUCUGAAGUACGAUCAGCUGUCUGGAUGCUGCUGCUUCUCACUUCCCCUGCUGUGGCACGUUGACGAGGUUCACAAAUGUGUUGCGUGUGUGUGCGCGCGCGUCUGUGUGUGUUUCAGCAUGUGGUUCUGCUGUGUGUAGAGACUUUAGUUCAUUGGGAGUGUUCUCAUAACAGUGUGACAGCAAACCUUCCCCCGUUUGCUUGUUUCUCGAUUUAAGCAUGAAUAGCCAAUACAGUGUCACUGUUUGUGUGGAUUUUGUUUUUAUCUAUUGUUUAGUGUUUUGAAUAUUGAUAAUAAGUUUAAAAAAAAAAUUCUGAAAUUGCAGGAUUAGUUCUGGUCCAAACUUAUGUCGUCUCGUGGCCUCAAGGGUUCCAGAAACUGGAUAUUGGUUUUUGCUGUGCUCGAGGAUAUCCAUUAAAAUGAGCUUUAUUGGCACGAUUUAAGGCUGCAACUAUAAAUUUCAGUUAAUUUGGGGUGUAAUUCUGUCGCUUUGGAAAGGACUAACAGAAUAUGGGUUUUUUAAGAAAAGUUUAGAAUAACAGAAAAUGUCUGUUUGUAUUCACAAUCGUGUGUGUGUGUGUGUAUUGAUUUGAGAUGUUUGCAAGAACACAAGGAGACUCCUGAGAGUCAGGGGUCAACAGCUGCUCCCCAACAGCCAAUCAAUUGCAGUGUAUCACUACACACACACACUCGUGCGCGCGCGCACACACAAACACACACACACACACACACACACACACACACACACACACACACACACAUACACACACACACACACACACACACACAAAGACGGCACUCUGUUCUCAAAUCUGUUGCCAUGGAUACGAGAUACAGGCGGCCAAGGGGGAGCAGUUUUCCAGCUUAAACUGUAAAUAUUGAAUUAUGAUGGGGAGGAAAGAGACAGCAGUGCAGGGCAAUUCUCCUGCCUGGAUGAUCUAAAUAUCAGGAUAAUCCUUUCAUCUCUUUUCAUCGCUACAGGAAAUCUGGUGCAUCAUUCAUGUUCAUCAACUUCAACAUGAAAAGAUCAAUCUGUCUCACCGAUCCCCGCCAUUUAUCUUACUGCGUCUCACAGACUAAAAGCUACUCCCGUUCCUUCAGCUCUGCCUUUUUUGUGAGGAAGAUCUUCAUUCCCUCAAGUGGGGAGCCGAGUGAAUGCUUCCCCAUGUCUGAUGUGCAGUCAACUCAAACAUUGAAGCCACUUUACCAAAUACUACGGCUUUUAUGUGGCGACAGUUCCUCUGUGGUUUGAUCAACGGGGAGAGAGGAGAUUUAAAGAGUGCAGUGUUAAAAUAUACAAGGAGGAGCAAAAAAAAAAAAAAAAAUGAAUUAACAAUUAAUAAAA